AUUGAACUCUGGCGGCAGGCCUAACACAUGCAAGUCGAACGGUAACAGGAAACAGCUUGCUGUUUCGCUGACGAGUGGCGGACGGGUGAGUAAUGUCUGGGAAACUGCCUGAUGGAGGGGGAUAACUACUGGAAACGGUAGCUAAUACCGCAUAACGUCGCAAGACCAAAGAGGGGGACCCUCGGGCCUCUUGCCAUCGGAUGUGCCCAGAUGGGAUUAGCUUGUUGGUGGGGUAACGGCUCACCAAGGCGACGAUCCCUAGCUGGUCUGAGAGGAUGACCAGCCACACUGGAACUGAGACACGGUCCAGACUCCUACGGGAGGCAGCAGUGGGGAAUAUUGCACAAUGGGCGCAAGCCUGAUGCAGCCAUGCCGCGUGUAUGAAGAAGGCCUUCGGGUUGUAAAGUACUUUCAGCGGGGAGGAAGGGAGUAAAGUUAAUACCUUUGCUCAUUGACGUUACCCGCAGAAGAAGCACCGGCUAACUCCGUGCCAGCAGCCGCGGUAAUACGGAGGGUGCAAGCGUUAAUCGGAAUUACUGGGCGUAAAGCGCACGCAGGCGGUUUGUUAAGUCAGAUGUGAAAUCCCCGGGCUCAACCUGGGAACUGCAUCUGAUACUGGCAAGCUUGAGUCUCGUAGAGGGGGGUAGAAUUCCAGGUGUAGCGGUGAAAUGCGUAGAGAUCUGGAGGAAUACCGGUGGCGAAGGCGGCCCCCUGGACGAAGACUGACGCUCAGGUGCGAAAGCGUGGGGAGCAAACAGGAUUAGAUACCCUGGUAGUCCACGCCGUAAACGAUGUCGACUUGGAGGUUGUGCCCUUGAGGCGUGGCUUCCGGAGCUAACGCGUUAAGUCGACCGCCUGGGGAGUACGGCCGCAAGGUUAAAACUCAAAUGAAUUGACGGGGGCCCGCACAAGCGGUGGAGCAUGUGGUUUAAUUCGAUGCAACGCGAAGAACCUUACCUGGUCUUGACAUCCACGGAAGUUUUCAGAGAUGAGAAUGUGCCUUCGGGAACCGUGAGACAGGUGCUGCAUGGCUGUCGUCAGCUCGUGUUGUGAAAUGUUGGGUUAAGUCCCGCAACGAGCGCAACCCUUAUCCUUUGUUGCCAGCGGUCCGGCCGGGAACUCAAAGGAGACUGCCAGUGAUAAACUGGAGGAAGGUGGGGAUGACGUCAAGUCAUCAUGGCCCUUACGACCAGGGCUACACACGUGCUACAAUGGCGCAUACAAAGAGAAGCGACCUCGCGAGAGCAAGCGGACCUCAUAAAGUGCGUCGUAGUCCGGAUUGGAGUCUGCAACUCGACUCCAUGAAGUCGGAAUCGCUAGUAAUCGUGGAUCAGAAUGCCACGGUGAAUACGUUCCCGGGCCU
rnacentral:rRNA from 1 species